AAACUUAAAGGAAUUGACGGGGGCCCGCACAAGCAGCGGAGCAUGUGGUUUAAUUCGAAGCAACGCGAAGAACCUUACCUGGACUUGACAUCUCCUGAAUAGUGUAGAAAUACAUGAAGCCCUUCGGGGCAGGAAGACAGGUGGUGCAUGGUUGUCGUCAGCUCGUGUCGUGAGAUGUUGGGUUAAGUCCCGCAACGAGCGCAACCCUUAUAAUUAGUUGCUAACAGUAAGAUGAGCACUCUAAUUAGACUGCCCGGGUUAACCGGGAGGAAGGUGGGGAUGACGUCAAAUCAUCAUGCCCCUUAUGUCCUGGGCUACACACGUGCUACAAUGGGUGGUACAAAGGGCAGCGAAACCGCGAGGUCGAGCUAAUCCCAUAAAGCCACCCCCAGUUCGGAUUGCAGGCUGCAACUCGCCUGCAUGAAGCCGGAAUUGCUAGUAAUCGCGGAUCAGCAUGCCGCGGUGAAUCCGUUCCCGGGCCUUGUACACACCGCCCGUCACACCCACGAGAGUUUGCAACACCCGAAGUCGGUGCGAGAACCUUUAUGGACUCAGCCGCCGAAGGUGGGACAAAUGAUUGGGGUGAAGUCGUAACAAGGUAGCCGUAUC
rnacentral:rRNA from 1 species